GGAAUCUAAUUCUUGCGGAGCCAUCCUGUGACAGUUGGUUUGGAAUGUCCCAUGUUCUCAGUAGUUGAACUGUUGAGCAGACCGCUCACUGGCCACUAAGUGUGGUCAGCUGGUCCCUAGGAAGGCUCCAUGUGAGACAGCUGGUCAUGUGAACCCUGCGGGAGGAUGGCCACAGUGGGUUUUCCACUGGCACUUCAGAGGGGCUUCCCUUGGAGCAUCUUGCCACAAGGACUAAGAAGAAAUAAAUGUUCACGUGACGUGAAGAAUAUCAACUGGCCUGAAGCAGUGAUUCAGGAAACCUCACAUCUGGCCAAACAACGGGAGGCCCCCUAUAGAUGACCCACUUGAAGGCACCUGUCUGGACAGCAGGAGUUGGCCACUGUGCAGCUGCAGUGACUCUGAAAGGUCUAUGAUGACACCAUUACCAUGUCGACAGAGAGAUACACCUCCGCUGUCCUGUCCAACGGUCCCUCUUUGAGCUGAGUGAGUCAUUGAGACACGUACAGCUCUCAAGGAUGGGAAACGGGAUCGGAAAUACUUUGUGUGGCUGCUGUUGUGGUAUGUUCUUACAGAUCUCCUGACUGCUGUUUGCUGCUAACCAGAUAGUUCACUCUUCCUCCAACGAUCUUCUCAUCAGUGAAAAUUUUCUCUCUCCAACUUGUCAUUCAGGGUUAUACAAAUGUUUUAUAGUUUAGUUUUAUCCCUUGAUUUCUAUUUUUGGUUAUUCUACCAAGCUAGCUGCCUUGACUUUUGUCCUCCGUUGUGAAAAAUAUACUCCUCCCUUUGAUAUCCUGUACCCCACCCCGACACACUAGGUUCCCCUAG